rnacentral:rRNA from 1 species
UACGGAGGGGGCGAGCGUUAUUCGGAAUUAUUGGGCGUAAAGGGCGCGUAGGCGGCUUGACAAGUCAAAGGUGAAAUCCCUCGGCUCAACUGAGGAACUGCCUUUGAAACUGUCUGGCUUGAGGCCGGGAGGGGGUAGCGGAAUUCCCAGUGUAGCGGUGAAAUGCGUAGAUAUUGGGAGGAACACCAGUGGCGAAGGCGGCUACCUGGACCGGUUCUGACGCUGAUGCGCGAAAGCCAGGGGAGCAAACGGG